rnacentral:misc_RNA from 1 species
GAUGAAGAACGCAGCGAAAUGCGAUAAGUAGUGUGAAUUGCAGAAUUCAGUGAAUCAUCGAAUCUUUGAACGCACAUUGCGCCCUUUGGUAUUCCAAAGGGCAUGCCCGUUCGAGCGUCAUUUGUACCCUCAAGCUUUGCUUGGUGUUGGGCGUCUUGUCUCUAGCUUUGCUGGAGACUCGCCUUAAAGUAAUUGGCAGCCGGCCUACUGGUUUCGGAGCGCAGCACAAGUCGCACUCUCUAUCAGCAAAGGUCUAGCAUCCAUUAAGCCUUUUUUUCAACUUUUGACCUCGGAUCAGGUAGGGAUACCCGCUGAACUUAAGCAUAUCAAUAAGCGGAGGA